rnacentral:rRNA from 1 species
AGCGAACGCUGGCGGCAGGCUUAACACAUGCAAGUCGAGCGGGCGUAGCAAUACGUCAGCGGCAGACGGGUGAGUAACACGUGGGAACGUACCUUUUGGUUCGGAACAACACAGGGAAACUUGUGCUAAUACCGAAUAAGCCCUUACGGGGAAAGAUUUAUCGCCGAAAGAUCGGCCCGCGUCUGAUUAGCUUGUUGGUGAGGUAACGGCUCACCAAGGCGACGAUCAGUAGCUGGCUGAGAGGAUGAUCAGCCACACUGGGACUGAGACACGGCCCAGACUCCUACGGGAGGCAGCAGUGGGAAUAUUGGACAAUGGGGCAACCCUGAUCCAGCCAUGCCGCGUGAGUGAUGAAGGCCCUAGGGUUGUAAAGCUCUUUUGUGCGGGAAGAUAAUGACGGUACCGCAAGAAUAGGCCCCGGCUAACUUCGUGCCAGCAGCCGCGGUAAG